rnacentral:lncRNA from 1 species
CACAGAGAGGUUGGGUGUGGGAAAGCUGGGUUAGUGAGAGCAGAUGUGGGAAGGGAGUGAUUGUUCACAGGCCUGCGUGUGUGUGUGUGUGUGUGUGUGUGUGUGUGUGUGUGUGUGUGUGUGAGGGGGGGGUGCACACAUGCACUAGGCUGGCCAAUCGGCACAUGGCCUGGAUGGUGGCAGAGGCACCUGGGACCAGCGCUUCUCCAGGAGUCUGUCCUCACAACACUUCUAAAUCUCGGAGCUCUUCCCCUAGACCGUGAGCCCUGUUGAGGUCUCAGCACAGGGAAAUUGCAGCAUGUCAGAACAGCUUAAUAUGAUUCAAACAGCCCUGGAAUCGACUGACACCACCUUCCUUCUCAGCCUUCCGUCUGUCCCUCCACCUGCCACCCCAAACUCCCCUGCUCCUUGCUUCACACACACAAAACAUCAGUUUUCCCACUAGGCUCGACCCAGCUCCCUGUCACAGACAAUGACAGAACCCUGUCAGGUUGCCUUCCUGAGGUGGAGUGACAGGAUUGGGGACAGCUAUUUCAAAUGAGGUCAGAUCCCAAGUCUAUCCAGGUCAGGAUGGCCUGGGAUGAGGACUGAGAUGAGACCCCAGCAAGACUUCAGAGUUGGGUGUGUCAGCACACGACCUGGAAUCCCAGGACUCGGAAGGCAGAGACAGGAGGGCUGAGUGAGGAUUGCUAUAAUCCAAGGCUAGCCUGGUCUACAAAAGGAGUUCCAGGCCAACUAGGGCUAUAUAGAAAGACCCCAACUCAACCAAGGGAAACAAAAGAGAUUUCAGCUAGGCACAGGCCAGGGAGGUGUGAGACUGCACCUCGUGCCUGCAGCCGCACCUCCAGGUGCCAUUGAAACAGAGGAGGACUGCCCUGGGCCUUCAGGAUUCUCAGAGGCCAGAGGGGAGUUCAGAGUGUGGUCAAGGCUAAGGCAACAUGAAUCCAUAGUCAACAGUCUUAGGACUUAAGGACAAUUAAAAAAAUCUAUUGCUGAGGGCACAAAGAGAUGGCUCUUAACACUGCACCCUUGGCUCUAAAAGUUUACGUGUAUUUAUUUUGUUUGCACAUGUGUGUGACUGCAUGAGCCAUUUCCACGUGUGAAGUUCAAAGGACAACUGUGAGGACUCAGUCUGGACCCACUGCUCGAGUGUGUGUGAGUGUGUGUGUGUGCACACUCAUGCGAGUGUGAUGUCUCAGGGAUGGAGUUUAGGCUGUGAAGCUUGGCAGAAGUGCCUGUACAGCUGAAGCUCACUGGCACACACUUGCCAUUUCUGGAGGGCAAGCUGGUUAAAAAAAAAAAAGGAAGGAAAUCAAAAGCCUUUACAUUUGAA